AGAUUAUCAAGAGUGUGGCGAGAGCACUGGCUCAGUAACCCACCGGCAACCCUCAGAAAUGAGAAGGUGCCACAUCCAGCCCUACGGGGAAGAUAAAGA
rnacentral:ncRNA from 2 species